CCGCAGAGCGAUUCGCGUCCCGGAAGCGGCGGUGGCGGCGGCGGCGUAGGCGGAGGAGAUUUUCGGACCUGCGACUUCCGAACAGCCCUGGCAGGAGGAGCGGCGUUCGGCCGGGGCAGGCCUGAAGAAACGCUCCGGGGCCCAGUGGCUCUACCCCUGCUCCUGCCCGACUCUGCCGCCUCCCUCACGGAGCCAGCGGCCGGGAUGCAGACAUCAGAACGUGAGGGGAGUGGGCCGGAGCUGAGCCCCAGCGUGAUGCCCGAGGCUCCCCUGGAGUCUCCACCUUUUCCUACCAAGUCCCCAGCGUUUGACCUUUUCAACUUGGUUCUCUCCUACAAGAGGCUGGAGAUCUACCUGGAACCCUUGAAGGAUGCAGGUGAUGGUGUUCGAUACUUGCUCAGGUGGCAGAUGCCUUUGUGUUCCUUGCUGACCUGCCUGGGCCUCAACGUCUUGUUCCUCACUUUGAAUGAGGGUGCAUGGUACUCAGUAGGUGCCCUGAUGAUUUCAGUGCCCGCCCUGCUGGGCUACCUUCAGGAGGUUUGCCGGGCACGGCUGCCUGAUUCCGAGCUGAUGCGGAGGAAGUAUCAUAGCGUGAGGCAGGAGGACCUGCAGAGAGUUUGCCUGUCUCGUCCCGAGGCCGUGGCUGAGGUGAAGAGCUUCUUGAUCCAGCUGGAGGCCUUCCUGAGCCGCCUGUGCUGCACCUGUGAAGCUGCCUACCGCGUGCUGCACUGGGAGAACCCCGUCGUGUCCUCACAGUUCUAUGGGGCUCUUCUGGGCACAGUCUGCAUGCUGUAUUUGCUGCCACUCUGCUGGGUUCUCACCCUUUUAAACAGCACGCUCUUUCUGGGGAAUGUGGAGUUCUUCCGAGUUGUGUCUGAGUACAGGGCAUCUCUGCAGCAGAGGAUGAACCCAAAGCAGGAAGACCAUGCCUUUGAGAGUCCUCCACCACCAGAUGUUGGGGGGAAGGAUGGUCUGAUGGACAGCACACCUGCCCUCACACCCACGGAGAGUCUCUCUUCCCAGGACGUCACACCGGGCAGCGUGGAGGAGGCUGAGGAGGCUGAGCCAGAUGAAGAGUUUAAAGAUGCGAUUGAGGAGGAUGAUGAGGGCGCCCCGUGCCCAGCAGAGGAUGAGCUGGCCCUGCAGGACAACGGGUUCCUGAGCAAGAAUGAGGUGCUGCGCAGCAAGGUGUCUCGGCUCACGGAGCGGCUCCGCAAGCGCUACCCCACCAACAACUUCGGUGCGGCCAGGGGACAGGGCUGGGCUGGUGGGGGAGUGGGGGUGGACUUCUGGGACUCUAGUAGGGAACACCCAGCCACAGGGGCAGAGUCUCAGAACUGUGGGUACUGACUUGUGACAAGAGCAGGGAGUGAAGGUGUGUCCGCGGGACCCCGGGGAGCUAGCAGAUGCCCAGCAGGACUGCUGAGGGAGUGGGUGUGGGUUCCUUCUUGUCCCUCCACCCUGAUUGGACAUUCACUUGUGGGAAGACAAGGAACUCAGUGUGGGAAAUGCCAUCCCAGGACUGCAGAGAACCAUAAUCCUGACAGAACUUCAGAAGGCAGUGUAGCAUGAUGGUGAGGAACAGAGUAGAGUCUCACUGCCUGCUGCAAAUCCCAGCUCAGCCAGGUGUCCUUGAGCAAAUUAUUUCACACCCCAUGCCUCAGUUUCCCCUUCUGUAAAAGGGGGAUCAUCAUUCUUACCUCAUAGGGUUGUUACAGGUCUCAUGUCAAAUGAGACAGUAGUACUUACGAAGGGCUAGCACAGUGCUGGUUGGUUCAUAGUAAGUAGUGGGUGCGGUUAAUGUGGGAGGCCCUGACCCACGCUGUGGGUUCCUAGGAUCCUGUCUUGGUCUUUCUGAUCCAGCUGGAAGCAGGUUGAAGCAAACAUUGUUUCUCUGGACGUGAUAGAGCCCUGAGUUCACCUCUCCCCAGCCAGUCCUUAAUUUACUGAGGGUCGGGGGAGAGCGGUCAAGGAAGGCAGCUUUGGAGAAGGGUGGACUUGACAGCACAGCUUGGAGACCUGGCUCAGAUCAGCAGCGCUGGGAGCUGAGCCACAUACAAUUAUGGUGGAAACCUAGAGUAGCUAGGUUGACCUGGGAGCUGCUGUGCUCCUGAGGAAGGGCCCUCCUGCCUGCUGUCAGAUGGGAGCAGGGUAUGGGGGCAGUACUGUGUGUUCUGGUGUUGAGUGAGUUCUAGGGUCUGUGCCCUGGAAGAAGACAAUGGAGUUUAUCUUGAGGAAUUUGACCCAGGGCCCCCAGGGUCCUGCCUUCCUGCCCCUGCAGCAGCCAGGGCAGUUGUUUUCUCAGGAUUAGAUGUCCUGGACAGGCUCUUUCUUUCUGCUGUGUGAAUGUCCCCCAGUUAUUCAAGAUCCCUUUUUGUUUUUUUUUUUUUGAGACAAGGUCUCACUGUGUCUCCCAGGCUGGAGUGCAGUGGCAUGAUCACAGCUCACUGCAGCCUCGACUUCCUGGGCUCAAGUCAUCCUCACAGCUCAGCCUCCUGAGUAGCUGGGACUACAGGCAUGCAGCACCAUGCCUGGCUAAUUUUUUGAUUUUUUUUUUUGUAGAGACAGGGUCUUACUUUGUUCCUCAGGCUGGUCUCGAACUCCUGGGUUUAAGUGAUCCUUGUACCUUGGUCUUCCAAAGUGUUAGGAUUACAAGUGUGAGCCACCACGCCUGGCCCCUUUGUUUUAUUUAUGCUGCCCGCUGACUUCUGCAGGGCAUUCUGUAUGUUCAGUGAUCUGUUUACCCUCCAUACUUGCAUAUGUGUGAUCUCAUUUCAUCCUUACCGUAGGUGUGACAGGAGCAGGCAGUUCUUAAGGGUGCAGAGCAGCCAGGUUCCAGCAGUGCCCAGUAACACUACACACAAGAAGUAUUACUCUGGUCCAGCAAAUAAUUUGUCUAUUUCUACAACUUCUAAGUAAAGGGAACUGCACGGGCUGCUCGGCCACCUUCUCAGUGCUGAAGAAGAGGCGGAGCUGCAGUAAUUGUGGAAACAGCUUCUGCUCUCGAUGCUGCUCCUUCAAGGUGCCCAAGUCCUCCAUGGGGGCCACAGCCCCUGAAGCCCAGAGGGAGACUGUGUUUGUGUGUGCCUCGUGUAACCAGACCUUGAGCAAGUGAGAAGAGAGGCCAGGGUCCAACCAGGCACCCGUCCUUGGGGCCAGCAGUAGACCCCCCACUCUCCCCACCCUUGGCCCACUGUGGUGUGUACUGGGCAAAUGUGGCCUGAAUGCUAGGUAGGCUUCCCCUUCCUUCCUCACUCUCUCCAGCUGGAUUCUGGAGCUGUUCUCCACCCAUGAGAGUGGCUGGCAAUGGCUGCUCUCAAUCCCUUGAGGGAGAAGAGCCCCUGGAGGGCCUGGCAUGUUUGCCCUGCUCUGCCUGGGACUGAGCGAGUGGACUUAGGGCAGGGCAGGCAGUAGCCACCAGAGGGCAGCAGCGAACUAGGCCAGGCCUGACUGGGGUCUGAAGAUCAGGGUCAGUGUGGCUAUGCCUGGGAAUUCCAGACCUGAGGUUGGGAAAAGAGGUUUUUCUCCUGCAGGGUACUGGGCCAGGCCCUCAGCCUCAGAGAGCCUGCAGAAGGGCUUGGAGUGCCACACUCCAUCUCUGCUGAUUGAAUGUCCCUCCAGGCACCAGGAUCGCAUCAUUUCCCCAUCAGAGGGUGUGGCCAGGCCUAACAAGACCAUGGGUGCUUCUAGAAACAGGGUUGAAGUUCCCAGAUUCCCUGAGAGGAGAAUGUGUAUAGGAGGGUUUGGCUGAGUCCUUCAGCGUUAAGUGGAGGAAAGCUUGGGGAAGCCCCAAUGCUGGACAGACCUCAGCCUCCCCUCGAAGACACCUCAAUUCACAGACUCUCAGCCCACACAAUGCCCCAGUGUCCCCAGCUCUGCUGGAGCAGCUGCAGGGCACUUGGAUCACAACUUCUGCACCCUCUGUCCAGAGUCUAGGGCAGUCCUCCCCUGGCCCAGCACUCCAGUUUCCUUUCCCUGCCUCUUGUCCAAUGGAGUGGGAGGCCAGGUGAGUGGAGCAGAGGUCCUGAAGCCCUUGACCCCUGGGGGCCUGGGUAGUGUAGGAUCUCGCUGGGCUGGGUCCUGGAUUCCAGGGCUAUUCCCUGGAGGACAGUCUCAGUUAUGGGAUAAGGCCCCCUGGGGGUCUCCAUUUCUUUCCAACAGUUUCAUGUUCACUACUGGACUCCUACGGGCUCAGUUUCUCUCCCUUAGCCAUGAGCUGGCUCAGGCAUCCCUUCCCUUCCCUGGAGCUGCCCUGCCUUUCUAAAGUAUUUAUUUAUUUAUUGCAUGGUUCCUGGGAACAUGUAGCACAAGUAAUGGGAUGAGGAGGAAUUGGGGGUGGGGGUCUCCUACCUAGGACUCUUCCCUGGAGUCAUGGGCUGCCUGGGACCCAGGACCCAUGAGGGGGCUGAGAGGUUUCUACACUCGAGGAGCAGGGGUCCAGAGAGGCAGGCUGGGGAGGCAAGGGACCCAUCCUAGGCCCGCUUUCUUGCCGAGCCAAGCAGCUUAGCUGGGGCUGUGCAGCCAGGGGCCUACCCAGGCCAGUGGAGGUGCCACAGCCCUGGGGAGCCAGACAGGCUUUGGUAUCGUAUCGCCUCUGUGUCCUUUUAAGAGAGGAGAGUUCAGUACCCCGUGCUUUCUUUACACUGGAGAGGAACUAAAAGGAUCUCUGUGUCUAUGGAGAAUUGUCAAUAAAAAGGCCUCAAGCUUC